AACGAACGCUGGCGGCGUGCCUAAUACAUGCAAGUCGAACGAGAGGAUGGGGUAACCCAUUAGUAAAGUGGCAGACGGGUGAGUAAUACAUAAGUAACUUACCUUUUAGUUGGGGAUAACCUUCCGAAAGGAGGGCUAAUACCGAAUAAGACCACAAGAACUACGGUUCUAGGGGUUAAAGGUGGCUUCGGCUAUCGCUAAAAGAUGGGCUUAUGCACCAUCAGGUAGUUGGUAAGGUAACGGCUUACCAAGCCUAUGACGGUUAACUGAUCUGAGAGGUUGAUCAGUCACACUGGAACUGAGACACGGUCCAGACUCCUACGGGAGGCAGCAGUAGGGAAUAUUGCGCAAUGGAGGAAACUCUGACGCAGCGACGCCGCGUGGGUGAUGAAGGCUUUCGGGUCGUAAAGCCCUGUCGGAGGAGAAGAAAACGGUAUGGCUAAUAUCCAUACCGCUUGACGGUAUCCUUAAAGGAAGCACCGGCUAACUACGUGCCAGCAGCCGCGGUAA
rnacentral:rRNA from 1 species